UACUGUUCGCUUCUCAGAAUCUGAAAAUAGCAUCUUUGUAGGUUAAUCUCUCAGAGGGAUUUGGUCGAGGAUGGCGUCCAAGAGGAUUCUAAAAGAGCUCGAGGCUCUCGUGAAAGAUCCUCCUGUCUUUUGCACUCUUGAGGGAGUUGGUCGAGGAUGGCGUCCAAGAGGAUUCUAAAAGAGCUCGAGGAUCUUGUGUCUUUUGCACUCUUGGUCCAGUUGCUGCGGACGAUUUGUUUCACUGGGAAGCAACAAUUAUUGGUCCGCCUGAUAGUCCCUAUGCCGGUGGAAUGUUUCUUGUUACCAUUCAUUUUCUGCCUGAUUAUCCAUUUAAGCCACCCAAGAUAGCUUUUAGGACAAAGGUUUUCCACCCAAACAUCAACAGCAAUGGUAGCCUUUGCCUUGACGUUUUGAAGGAACAGUGGAGCCCAGCACUUACAAUCUCCACGGUGAAGUUCAUUUCCUGUUGUUCCCAUGCUGAUUUAAUCUUUUGUUUUUGCUUCUUAUUUACAUCCCAAGAGUUCUGAGGUCCAUUACCAUCCCUGUAUAUAUUGCUGAGAAUAUUGUCGAAUGGAUUUCGAUGGUGGAUCAUGAGGACUUUUACGUCGAAUAUUUAGUUCUUGUUCUAAACUAACAUAAAUGAGUCAAACAUAGGAGAUUAAAAUACAUUCACCUAAUACCUUGCUUUUUGUUUGGAUUCUUUUAUCGUAUACAACUAUACAUGAAACAUCUUCUAUAUUUUCAGAUUGAACUUAUGUGAGAACCAGCAACUUUAAUCUUUUGCUUCUUGAACGUGUAACAUUACUAUUAUCCUCCUUCCAAAUGAAACUCUUGCAUCAGUUGAAUUUCUUCUUCCUUUUUCCGAUGGUGUCCGAGUCAACAUGCGCAUACCUCGACUAUUACACCGGGUACCUAUUAAUUCCCACCGGGAUAGGUACUUGGUAACUAAUAACUAUUCCCAUCAAGACUUAGGUAGAUGGGAAGAAAUUAGUUAGUGUUUUUGGCAGUUGAUGUGCUUCCCACCAGCGCGGUUACUGCUUAUUGUUACUGCUUCCUUCCAUCUAAUUUUCUGGCUCUUAGAUGUAACGAAAUGGUGGUACCUUGAGCUCCAAAGUGGUACAUUGAUAUUAAAGUGUUAAGAAUGUGCCAAGUCAGGAUGAAGUUUUAACAUUUAUAGUUUAGUCCUACUUGUUAUAUUAUUUUCAUUAGUUACCUCAUUAGCUAGUUCACGCUUUUAUACUCUGUUAGGGCUCAUUGUAGAAGAUGUUGAAUAAAAAAUCUCAAUUUUUAUCUUUUAAUUAGUGGUAUGUUAAGAAAAUGAAGUGUUUCUUAUGCAUAAUUAGCUCAAGGGGAAAGGUUAUGUUGUUGCUUCUUGAAACACUUCAAUUUAGUUUUUUGGUUUUUGUUAUGAUAUAAUGGUUUUGUAA